AUGCAAGUCGAGGGGUAGCAGGAUGUAGCAAUACAUUGCUGACGACCGGCGCACGGGUGAGUAACGCGUAUGUAACCUACCUUCUACAGGGGGAUAGCCCGGAGAAAUCCGGAUUAAUACCCCAUAAAACAGGGGCUCCGCAUGGAGAUAUUUGUUAAAGAUUAAUCGGUAGAAGAUGGGCAUGCGUUCCAUUAGCCAGUUGGUGAGGUAACGGCUCACCAAAGCAACGAUGGAUAGGGGAACUGAGAGGUUUAUCCCCCACACUGGAACUGAGACACGGACCAGACUCCUACGGGAGGCAGCAGUGAGGAAUAUUGGUCAAUGGGCGAGAGCCUGAACCAGCCAAGUCGCGUGAAGGAAGACUGCCUUAUGGGUUGUAAACUUCUUUUAUAUGGGAAUAAAAAGAGUUACGUGUAACUUAUUGCAAGUACCAUAUGAAUAAGCAUCGGCUAACUCCGUGCCAGCAGCCGCGGUAAUACGGAGGAUGCGAGCGUUAUCCGGAUUUAUUGGGUUUAAAGGGUGCGCAGGCGGUUUAUUAAGUCAGCGGUGAAAUCUAGAGGCUCAACCUCUAAACUGCCGUUGAAACUGGUAGACUUGAGUAUAGAUGAAGUAGGCGGAAUUCGUUGUGGUAGCGGUGAAAUGCAUAGAUAUAACGAGGAACCCCGAUUGCGUAGGCAGCUUACUAAACUAUAACUGACGCUCAGGCACGAAAGCGUGGGUAUCAAACAGGAUUAGAUACCCUGGUAGUCCACGCAGUAAACUAUGAUUACUAAGUUGUUUGCGAUAUGAUAGCAAGUGACUAAGCGAAAGCGAUAAGUAAUCCCCUGGGG
rnacentral:rRNA from 1 species